UAAAUUGUCCCUUUAGGCAAUAUACAUACAUAUGAGGUAGUGUAAGAGAUACAUUACAGAAGGAAUUUGGAGAGCAGCAACAUUUACAGUGCUCUCCUGUCUAAACAAAUCGUUCUCUGCUUCAAUUAUCUUUAGACAUGUGGUCUACAUUCCGUCCACUUCAAUAAUCUUGAGACAUGUUGUCUAUACUCAGUCCAUUACAAUGCUCUUCAGUCUUAACAGGUGAAAUGGAUUGAAGCCAUAACUCCUACUGCGAGUAUAUGAAAUAAGAGCAUUAACAAUGUAUAUAUUUCUUACCAACAAUAUUGUAGAUAUGCAGUGAUCCUUGUGGCAGUGCAAUUCAAAUAUGGUAUCUAAAAUAUGGGGAAUUAUCAUAACAGGAUAAACAAGCUACAAAUGAUUUAUGCCACAUGUAAAUUUACUUAAUUGACUUGCAAUGUCAACUGGCUGAAAUAAUAAUUUUUCGAGAUGAUUACAGCACUUUACAAGCAAUAGCUUCAAAGGCUAACAACAAAAACACUAUAGCUGAUAAAAAAGGUAAUGUAAAUUAUAUUUCUUGCCUUCAAUAGUAGAAAAGAAAGGAACUGCAUUGACAAAUGAAAGAUGUCCAGAAAUCUCAAAACUUUUUUACAUAUCUAGCUAUCAAAGUCACAUAUAUGCCCAUUCCAGUCAAAUAUAUGAUUAAAUUAAGAAAUGCACAAAUUGGAAUACCCAGAAACUGCAUCACAUUAGUUUGAGCUACCACGUAAUAAUAAUCUACUGCCACAUGGGAAUAUGAUAUUGAAAAUUAGCCUAAGAACAAAAGUACAGUGGAGCUCAGAACUAAUUGCCUAUAGGAUAAGCCCCAACCACAUGAUGGCAUCCAUGGUCUAGCUUUGCAGUCUGCCAAAACAUUUACGUGUUUUCCUCUAACAGAGCUCACCUUCACCUGCAACAAUCAGGCCUCAGGACCAGAGGGGAAGUCACAGUUCCAUAUCAUCUGAGAACAACAGAGGGGAUGAUUGAAUCGAAUUACAUCCAGCUAGGGUAAUAUUCAAAAAUAGAAAUAUAAUGACAAAAGAAGUUACAGAAUAAUGCACGUGCAAGGCAAAGAACCAUAAAUUAACAUGACAUGUUUCGUAAUUGUAAUCAUUCCAUAGUUCAUAAUAGAUGCGCAAGAAGUUCAGUUAAGAAAUUUUUUUACCACAUCAAAUUAAUGUUGCACCAAACAAAAAACUAUCCAAUAUAAUUAUGAGCCAAAUGGCAUGCGGAUUUUUUUAGAUGCAAAAGCUUAGUUUUUUCCUCUGAGAUGAAACUGUAUACAAAAUACUGCAUACCUCAUGAGUACAUGGUGUUUGAAUAUGUGGCAAUGAAGUGGAUCAUUGCUACAGGCCUAAGGAAGAACCAGCUCCAACAGGGGAAGAACAUAAGCACUCCAGAGCCGUUUCUUCAAUUCAGGGGUUCCUAUUAAUGAAAACUGAAAGACAAAUCCUUUGUACACAAGCAAUUGCAUGUUUGAACUGUAGGAAAAACGUUUUACAUAUUCAGUUAUCAUGAAUUAUGUGUAUAGAACUAAACUUAAAAUGUUCAAGGAAAAUAUUAUCACUGCAUAAAUCUGAAUUUGUCAUGUGUAUGAAAGCAUGAUAUCCAGUAAUAUCAAUAUAAUACUCUACAUGCAAUACCAUUGCUUAUAAUGAUGUCCAAAGUAUCAAGUGAUGGUGCAUAGAAGUAUAGGACUAUAGGGGCUUGUAGCAGCAGAAAUAUUAGAAUGGCCUCAUCCUGAAACUAAAGUAUGCAGUAUUUUUAGUCCAUAACGGUCUCCACAUGUCUUUAGUAGUAACAAUGACAAAGAUAUACAGGGACUGUGACACAGUCAGUCACAUAUGUGGGCUGGGCCAAGCGGUGGGAGGAGAAAAACAAAAUUUGCAUCAACAAGAAGCACAUGAGGUAACUAACAAUGUCUAUUGGUAAAAAUUGUACAGAUCUACGAAACAAAACAUCUAGAACAAUCCAUGCAUACAAACUUUUAUAAAAAUAUUUCUAUAAGUAAUGACCUUCUCAAUCUCAGAUGAUUCACAUUGCUAGCGUUCACCUUUAGAAUGAAUAUCCUACUCUGCUCUUUUUAGCUUGGAAUUUCCUCUGGGAAUCAAGUAAUAAUACCAGGUUGAAUUUUAUAUUGACAAUGUACUAUUAUUUGCAUAUUUCAGAAAAAAGCUAGUGAGCAAGGCAUCAUACAUUGUUAACUGUUUCAAUGUGCAAGAUGUCUAAAAUGACAGGGGAAGUCUACAGUACGACAAUAAUCAAAUCUCUAUAACUUCGCCAGUUUCUUUACUAUAGUCCCUCUUAGACUUUUUUCUUGAGAAUACACAAAAGUUUUCACGUCUUUGUAUCUAGAAUUGGGAGGUAGCUCCUCCUAGAUUUAAAAAAUCAUCCAAUAUUAUAUAAGUUAAGUUGUGUAAAGAAGAUUAUAUUUCACAGGCUAUUAGGUACUCACGGAUGAUUUGCUUCUUUCAGCAAAUUAGGUACUGGUGCCGUCUUCUCCUUCAUCUAUCUCUCAGUUGUAUCAUUUCCCACGUACAAAACAUGCUUUGAGUCAGUGCUACCACUGAUAAGGAAAUUGAAAUUGGCAUUCAUACUAAUACUAAGGAUGGGCUUGCAAAUAAAUUUAAGGUACUUGAAUUGCACCUGAGUGGAGGCGGUGGAGAGCCUAGCCUAGGAUAUGAGCAUUUUGUUUGUUACCUCUCUGACCAAGGAGCUCACUUUCUUUUCCCUGGAAACCAAGGAGCUGACUUUGGUUACAGAAAAAUCAGAAGCAUGUACUGGAAAGCAAUAAUCCCUCUAGAUGAAAUUGAACUGGGUUGGAUAGCAAAAAUAUACAAGUUCACUAAUUCACCUGGUGUUGAU
rnacentral:lncRNA from 1 species